rnacentral:tRNA from 1 species
AGAGAGAUGUUACGAGUGUGAAGAAAUGACGAGGACAAUAAAUUCCCGGACUUUUUGGAGUUGCAAAGUGCUUUCGCUUUACUGUUGAUGUUCUUUAUUGGUUAUUGGUUAUUGGUUCUUGGUUAUUGGUAUUUAUCUUAUCAAUGCCUGCGAAUAAAACAACCAAGAACCAACAACCAAGAACUAAUAACCAACAACCAAUAACCAAACACAGAGGGCUGUAGCUCAGUUGGUUAGAGCGCUACACUGAUAAUGUAGAGGUCACCAGUUCAACUCUGGUCAGCCCUACGAGGUGUCCGUUGUCUGUGAGGGCGAAGGAGACCUGAAUCAGCAGCCCGCCUCCGCCAAGGCUAUGGCGGGCGAAAGGGGGAUUAGCUCAGCUGGCUAGAGCACCUGCCUUGCACGCAGGGGGUCCUGGGUUCGAAUCCCUGAUCCUCCACUUUAGUCGCCGCANUCCCAUGAAGGCGAAGGCGGCAAAAAGCAAUCGGGAAUCAGAAGAAGUGGCUGCAGAGUGUGCCGCAGUCCUUGAGGGGUGGAGGUUGGAAAAGCCGGGCACGCAACAGUAAAAAAAAACAGUAAGACAAGACAUGGAGCCCGAUUAGGGGGGCUUCGACUCAAAGGAGUUGGGAUUGGUUCGAAUCCGAUUGAUGUUUCCGUUGUAAUUCUUUCCGCGAGUAUUUCGUUUUCCGAGCCUGGGAAGCGAUUGAAAGGGGGUAAAAGGGGACAAAAAGUUCAUUGACAAGACUGGGAGGCAAAGAGAAGCAAAAAAAGAGUGGAGGAGGGUAAUCGAGCCAGGAGAAGAGCGACCUGAAAAGAGGGAAUAGAAGAAAGAAACUACCGAGUGGCGGAAAGGUCACGAUAAGGUGAAGAGAUGGAAGCGAAAUAAGGGCGCAUG